rnacentral:lncRNA from 1 species
AUGGGCCAGUCCAAUCAAAGCAGUCAUUUCAGUUAUAAAAAUGGCAGCGUGAAAAGGAACCACAGAAAAGCAGUAGCAGCAGUUCCGUUUUUGCAAAGUGACCGUGCAGCUUCCUUGACUGUGUACAGGGAAGCAACCAAGCAGUUUCCCAACACAAUUGCUCAGUCUGGUCCAGUCAAUCACUUGGCAGGUCUGGAGAUAGAAACCUAUAGAAAUGAUCCUGUGGUCCACUCUGAGCCCCUGUCUCAUGCUGUGGAACCUCAGAAUUAUCAUAUUGUCAGAACUGGUAGAGAGUGGGGCUUGAGAAUCAUGCAGCCUCACCCCUCCCUUAUCCCAGGGGUUACAGAAGAGCUUGGGGUCCUUACCGAAAUGCCAUGGCACUUCAGGAGACUCCCCUUCUCUCUCCGAGCUGAACAUCCCUCAGUGGCAGCAAGUUCUUCCUUGUGUCUAACCAGAGUCUCUCUCGCUGCAGGAGCAGUCUGGAUGCCCCUCGUCGUAGCCAGUCUCCAGAGGACUCUUCAUGAUAAUUCACAGAGUGAGGGGCAGAGGUGAUGACAGAACAUCACGAAUACCUUUCAAAUACAUCAAUCCGAAGCCUGUGCCACACAGUGAAUCAAGUUGGGGACCAUCUGCGAGCUCGGUGGGGCUUAGGAACGGGGCUUCCUCUGUUCUGCGCUAGAGCUUCCUUUGGCUGAAUCAGCCCCUGCCCACCCCAGCCACUGGGGACCCAAGAUGUCUGAGAGCGCUUUGUCCCUGGCAGCUCACCGGAAACAUCUUAGACUUGGAUCCCGUUCAAAGACCACUUUCCCCACAGCAGGACUGGG